UCUCCGUUGGUGAACCAGCGGAGGGAUCAUU
rnacentral:rRNA from 77 species